GAUGAACGCUGGCGGCGUGCCUAAUACAUGCAAGUCGAACGACACUUCUUUAUCACCGAGCGCUUGCACUAACCGAUUAAGAGUUGAGUGGGGAAUGCGUGAGAAACACGUGUUCAAUGUGCGCAAAAGAGGGGAAUAACACUCGAAAACAGGUGCUAAUCUCGCAUAACAAUAAUUACCGCUUGGUAACUAUCUCAAAGGAGGCUAUACUACUGCUUUUAGCUGGGUCGGCGGCGCAUUAGCUAGUUGGUCGGGUAAAGGCUUACCAAGGCAAUGAUUCGUAGCUGGACUGAGAGGAUGAUCAGCCACACUGGAACUGAGACACGGCCCAGACUCCUACGGGAGGCAGCAGUGGGGAAUCUUGGACAAUGGGCGAAAGCCUGAUGGAGCAAUGCCGCGUGGGUGAAGAAGGUCUUCGGGUUGUAAAGCCCUGUUGUUAGGAAAGAAAAGGCGUAGGAUAAACUCUUCACGUUUCGACGGUAUCUAACGAGAAAGCAACGGCUAACUUCGUG
rnacentral:rRNA from 1 species